UUUGUGUCAGUGAGGACAGAAGAGCUCACAUCAGUUCAGCUUCAACAUCAACCAUGUUCUCUGUAGCUCUGCUGCUGCUGCUGGCUGCUGGAUCCUGUGUGAACAGUAUUGAUCUCAUCCAGCCAGACUCAAAGGUUGUGCAGCCUGGACAGUCUUUGACCAUCACCUGUCAGGUCUCUGGUUAUUCUUUGACUGAUGACAGCUAUGCAACAGGUUGGAUCAGACAGUGUGAAGGAAAACCAAUGGACUGGAUUUCUCAUCAGUGGGGUGGUGGCAACUUUUAUCAAAAUAAUGCUCUGAAGAACAAGUUCGGCUACAGCAGAGACACUUCUGCUAGCACAGUGACUCUAACAGGACAGAAUCUGCAGCCUGAGGACACAGCUGUUUAUUACUGUGUACGUGUGCCCACAUUGCAGUGCUGUGAGCUCUCAGGGCCACCGUUGUUCAGGUCAGAGUAUGGAGUCCAUUCCUUCCAGUUCAGUAGUGAAAAGGCCUGGGGAGACUCUCAGUCUGUCCUGCAGGGGAUCUGGCUUCACAUUGUGGUAUGA